CCCCCGUUACCCGGAACCCGUUACCGACCCGGGCCCGGUCCGGUUAACCCGGACCCGAACGUAACGGUUCGGGUAAACGGUAACCUAAACCGGGAAAAGGGUUAAUUAACGGGGGGUACCCCGGGGGCCGGACCCGAACGAACCGGUCGGGUACGGGUAAGUUAGUGGUUUAAGGUUUUACGUACGUAGUCGUAACGUACCGAAGGAAACCGUUAACCCUACGGAACGUUACGUUACGACUAGUUGCCGAAGUACCACGUGGUAAACGAACACGGAAGGUAGGCCGUUCCGGUUAGGCGGCGGAACCGAACAACGGUAGGGUUGGUCGACUAGGUCGUCGUUCGGUCGUAGACUCGUCGUCGUCGUAGAGUAGUUCGGUUAGGUAUCCGCAACGAGCGCAACCCUCGUGUUUAGUUUGCCAUCAUUAAGUUGGGCACUCUAAACAGACUGCCGGUGACAAACCGGAGGAAGGUGGGGAUGACGUCAAGUCAGCAUGCCCCUUACGUCCUGGGCUACACACGUACUACAAUGGUAGGGACAGAGGGCAGCCAACCCGCGAGGGCGAGCUAAUCCCGUAAACCCUGCCUCAGUUCAGAUUGCAGGCUGCAACUCGCCUGCAUGAAGGCGGAAUCGCUAGUAAUCGCAGGUCAGCAUACUGCGGUGAAUCCGUUCCCGGGUCGACGCGGCCG
rnacentral:rRNA from 1 species